AACCUGCCCCAUAGUCUGGGAUACCACUUGGAAACAGGUGCUAAUACCGGAUAAGAAAGCAGAUCGCAUGAUCAGCUUUUAAAAGGCGGCGUAAGCUGUCGCUAUGGGAUGGCCCCGCGGUGCAUUAGCUAGUUGGUAAGGUAAAGGCUUACCAAGGCGAUGAUGCAUAGCCGAGCUGAGAGACUUAUCGGCCACAUUGGGACUGAGACACGGCCCAAACUCCUACGGGAGGCAGCAGCA
rnacentral:rRNA from 1 species